GGAGGGUAUCACCACUAGAAAGUGUGCCUCCUUAAGAUUUCUUAAAGGAAAGUUAGUUUCAGUAUUUCACAGCAAGUUGGACUACAAAAUCUAGAGUUGAUCUGCUUUUUAAACCUUCAUUUAAAAGCAAACUUGGAAGAAAUUUGAAACUGAUGUUUUUAAUAUAUGUCUGUGUUGCCUAGGUUUUCUUUUUUUAAAGAGGUAUGUAAUUAAAACCUUUGUAAAAUUUGCCAACUAAUAUUAGUGCCUGACUUCCCAUAUUUGUUUCAUCUUUUUAACUGACAGUAUAUCUCACUUCUUCUUUGAAUAGAAUGAGUGAGUGAUCUCAGUUUUCACAUUUUAUUCAGAAGCUAAUCCCUACUUAGCAAGGCACACAUUCUACAGCAAGUCAUAGAAAGUUUAAUCCUUGUGCCUCCUUAGCUCUCGUAUAUUCAGGGAUCUCUAUAAAAGUUGGUGUCUUUUUUCAUCAUCAUAAAUUCAUCAUAAUCACAGAUAUUUUUGGGUCUAAGAUAUUCAUAUACCAAGGAUGGUUUUGUAAAGAAUUCUGGGAUCAUUGAAUUAAGGAUUGUGGCUUGAAGUAACUAAAGAAAAAUACUAAUUUCCUUAAAAGGAAUUAUAAUUAUGAUUUACAUUUUACAUCAUUAAUUUCCCAAAUUAUAUUUAACCGUAAGGAGGUGCACAUGAGUUUUUAGCAAACAGGUAUGAAUAAGCAGCUAUGUAUAUGUGUUUGGGGCAGAGGGGAGCAGAUUACUUUAACACACUUCAGAAUUAAAAUCAGUUCGUUUCAUGACUCUGUGCCUUAACGUUUGUGUGAACUAAACUUGCUGAUUGAAUGAAAUUCUUGGGAAGCCGAACAGUAAUAGCAGAAAAUGUGACCAAAUGAGUAUCAUGUACUUAAAUCACUGAAUUUUAUAUAAGCACAAGUAUUAAUUUUAAAAACAUUAUAGUUUAAUAAAGCUGCAUUUAAAAAUAUUUGGGAGCAAAGACAAGCAUGCUAAAUCUUCAUUUUGCUAUGGCUAUAAGCAUAUAUUUUUGGCAACUUAUUUGCAAUAUUCUUGCCUUAAAGUUUCCUGCAAAUUUCCCCCUUAGUAAUUCCCGAAUAGCAAAACAUUAAUAUUCCAUGAUUAGCUCUACUGUGUUGUCUCACUAUUAAAAUGGAAUUCGUUUUUUCAGAUCUUUUCUAAUGGUUAAUAAAACAAAUGUCAGAUCAU
rnacentral:lncRNA from 10 species